rnacentral:rRNA from 1 species
UACGUAGGGUGCGAGCGUUGUCCGGAAUUAUUGGGCGUAAAGAGCUCGUAGGCGGUCUGUCGCGUCGGAUGUGAAAACUCGGGGCUCAACCCCGAGCCUGCAUUCGAUACGGGCAGACUAGAGUUCGGUAGGGGAGACUGGAAUUCCUGGUGUAGCGGUGAAAUGCGCAGAUAUCAGGAGGAACACCGGUGGCGAAGGCGGGUCUCUGGGCCGAUACUGACGCUGAGGAGCGAAAGCGUGGGUAGCAAACAGG